GUUAAUGUGCUGUAUUAUUCUAAACCCCGAGUCAUAUCCUGCUUGGAGACAUAUUAAGAUGAUCUCAAGAGCCUUGCUUGUCGUGCUAUGUCUGUUCUCGCUGAUGAUUGCAGAGCACUCUGUCCAAGGCCAAGGUUCUUGUUGGACAUUUAGUGGAUGUGAACGAUGCAAAGUGCGAUGCACAAACAGGGGAUUUCGGCGUGGGCACUGCGAAUACUAUGCGACUAAGUGUCCAAGAGGAAGGCAUUGGAAUUGCACAUGUUGGAACUAAUUUGAUUGAUAUAAACAAAACCUGUAUCAAUUCAUACAAUAAAUUGAAAGUAUUGAAAGAAA